ACAGUGGUGAUUCAGUGGUAGAAUUCUUGUCUCCCACGCAGGAGACCUGGCUUCAAUUCUCAGCCAAUGCC
rnacentral:tRNA from 1 species